CACCUGCUGCAGGGUUUUCUGGCCAGCAGCUGCGGUGUGGCUCGCUUCUGCUCCCUUGAACCUUCUGAAACCUCCCCUAACCAGCCUUGCUUGGGCCUCUCUUCCAGCUCUUUCUCUGCGAAGGCAGAGAAGCUUCUGUCAUCUGCAGGCCUCCCCUUCCAUAGGACGGCCCUGCCCUUCCCCUGAGGCCCAGCAGGCUUUCCAGUGAACCCCACAGGGGAGGUGGGAAAAGAGAGAGCGAUCCGGAGUCUCGGGGGCUGGCUGGUCACUGAAGUACUGCCCGGCCAGACCAUUUAAAACAUCCUUGAACAACAAAAGUAUAAAUACCGCGUCUGGACCAGAACAAACGAUACAGAGAAUUUUAAUGCCAAACUUGGAACAACAAACAAAAUGUUUCUUUGGGAAUUUCUGACAGAGGAGCACGCCGUAUAAGGAUUUUUAAAAUUGUGUGGUUUUUUUUUUAAUUGUUUGUGUUUUUUUUUAGUAGUCGGGGCAAGUUUCAACCAGGAUAUGAAAAUGAACUGGAAGCAAACAACCUCAAAGGCAGAAAUGAGAUUCUCCUUGGAAAUCUUGCAUAAUCCACUGUCUUGUGUAAUUUCAAGAGGGCUUCGAAAUAAGGAGAAAAUAAAUGCCAACUCUCCUAAGCUUGCCAGGAAAGGAAAGGUCUGAAUUUCUCCUUCUACUGAAGAAGGAGGAGCACCCUCCCCACCCCCGUGAGGCUCCACCACCUUCCCCACCAGUACCAGGAGAGGCACCUGAUGGGUGGGCCACCUCCAAGACAACAAUGACUUAAUUGUGAUGUGUGAUGCGGGCUUCGGGAAACUGCUGGCCAGGCAGCGGGACCUGUGAGGCUUGAGGGCUCUGUUUGCGUGUCAGAAGGAGAAGGUCCAGCAGCUGAGAGGCCAAACAUCAGAGAGGCUCGAGUCUGUGGUCCUGGACGUCACCAAGACAGAGAGCAUCACUGGAGCACCCAGUGGGUGAAGGAGUAUAUGAGGACAGAGGUCUUGCACAUGCUGGUGCAAUGGAACCGAUGAGAGUUGGAGUCUGGUUACCUGCAAAACAUCCUGGCUCCAGUCUGUGCAACCUCAGGAUUCAGUUUCAGCUGCAUGCCACAGACGCCAAAAUUAACAGUGGAUUACACAAGACAGAUAUUUCUUUCUUCCCUUGUGGAAAAACCUGCCAUGGUAUGUAUGGUAUCUCCUCUCUAUUGAUUUGUCAGGGGCUCAGAUGUUUUUAGGCUUCCUGCUCUGCUAUCCUACAGUCCAAGAUGGCUCUAGGCAGUGGAACGGGAAAGGACAGGUCUCUAUCCCGUAAGGGUAGAGCACAGAUGUUUUGCACAUCUUGCUCGUGCUCACAUACCUUGGCCAGAACUUAGUCACAUUGUCAGAAGCAACAAGGCAGGCUGAAAUUGUGGUUCUCAUUCUGAGUAGCCAGGCAUUCAGCUAAUAAUCCAAUUAUCGUGGACCAAGGGGAGAAUGUAUGUUGUGGGACAGCUGGCAGUCUCUGCCACACAGAAGAAGUCAAUUCUCUUGCAGGAUCUUCAGCAACAGCUUCUUUCUUUAUGUAGUCUUUGGUGUGUGAUGGGUUUAAUAAUUACACUCCUGAAUCUAUGGGUCAAAUGAUUGGAAUGUCUCUAGGAGACUCCAGGAAUUCUUUUCUUAGGUACUCAGCUCUCUCUUACCAGCAGAGAAGUGAGAAGAGUUUGGAGACAUUUCUUAGAAUCAAUUAGCUUUGGUCUUCAGGUUGAUUGCUUUGCAGGAUAGAGAUCCUUACCUUUUGUUUUAAAAUAGUUUUGUUGAGGUAUAAUUGAUAAAAUUCACUUCUUAAGUUUUAUGUAAGUGUACAGUUCCAUAUUUUUUUACUCAAUUUAUACUAUUUGUACAACCAUCACACAAUCCAGUAAUAGAAAAAAUUUUCUUCAUACAGAAUGUUCUCUUGUGCCUAAAGUUAGUUCCCACUUCCACCGAUAUACUUUCCAUAUCUAUGCAGACCACCUUUUCUGGAAAUCCUGUAUAAAUGGAAUUAUACAACAUGUAGUCUUUUGUGUCUGGCUUUUUUUACUUAGAAUAAUGUUUUGGGGCUUAUCCAUGCUGCUGCAUAGCUCAAUAGUUCAUUCUUUUUUAUUGCUGAGUUGUAUUCUAUAAUGCGGACAUACCACAUUUUAUCCAUUAACCAGUGGUGGACACUUGGAUUGCCUCCAGUUUGGAACUAAUGUAAAUAAUGCUAUUGUGAAAUUCAAAUAGUCUUCAUGUGAACACAUGCUUUCAUUUCACUUAGGAGUGGAACUGCUGUAUCGUAUGAUAUGUUUAACUUUUUAAGAAACUGCCAAACUGUUUUCUAAAGACUUUAUGUCAUUAUACAUUCCCACCAGCAAUGUAUGAGAGCUCUGUUUUCUCUACAUCCUCACCAACCCUUAGUAUUGCCAGUCUUUUAGAUUACAGUCAUACCAGUAUGCAUGCAGUGGGAUCCCUUUAUGUUUUUUUUAAAAGGUUUUAUUUAUUUAUUCAUGAGAGAAAGAGAGGCAGAGACAGAGGCAGAGGGAGAAGCAGGCUCCAUGUGGGGAGCCCGACGUGCGACUCGAUCCCGGGUCUCAGGAUCAGGCCCUGGGCUGAAGGCAGCGCUAAACCACUGAGCCCCCCGGGCUGCCCCCCUUUAUGGUUUUAAUUUACAUUUCCCUGAUAAUUAAUGAUAUUGAGCACACAAAAAGUUAUAAAUCUUCCUCUAAGCACAGCUUUAGCUGCAUCCUAUAAAUUUUUUUUUGUUUUUUUUCUUUUUGUUUAUAUUUUCAUUCAACUCAAGAUCCUUUCUAAUUUCCCACGUGAUUUUUUCCUUCGACCUAAGGAUUACUCAUACCUGUCUUGUUUAAUUUCCAAACAUUUGGAGGGCUUUCAAAUUUUUUCUUGCUGUUGAAUUCCAAUUUAAUUUCUCUUGUUGUAGAACAAUCUUUGUAUGACUUCAAUCUUUUAAAUUUUACCAAGAUUUGGCCUAGUAUAUUGUUUAUUCUAGAAAAUGUUUCAUGUGUGCUUAAAAAGAAAAUGAUUCUAUUUGUUGAGUAUUCUAUAGCUACCAGUUAGGUGAAAUUGGUUGAUAAUGUUCAAGUCUCCUUAUCUUAACCAAUUUUCUGUUUUAUCAGCACUCAAGAGAGGAACAUCUAAAUAUCCAACUCUAAUUCUUCAGUGGUCUAUUUUUCCUUUCAGUUCUGCUCAUUUUGUUUCCUAUUAUAUUAGGGUUCAGUUAUUCGGUGCAUGUGCAUUAUAAAUUUUAUAACUUCUAGAUGGAAUGACAUUACAAAAUGUCUCUAUUUGUCUCUGGUAAUAUUUGUAUUUUUAAAGUCACUUAAUAUAGCUAUUCAAGCUCUCUUACAAUUACUAUUUGUAUAUAUAUCUUUUUUGAUAUUUUUACUUUCAAUCUGUUUAUGUUUUGGGAUCUAAAAUAUGUCUCUUACAGGGGCACCUGGGUGGCUCAGUUGGUAGAACAUACAACUUUUGAUGUCAGGGUUGUGAGCUUAAGCCCCGCAUUGGGUAUAGAGCUUACUCAAAUAAAUAAAUAAAUAAAUAAAUAAAUAAAUAAAUAAAUAAAUAACAUGUCUUUUAUAGACUGCGUAUGGUUGGGUCUUGUUUUUGUAUACAGUCCCACAAUUUCUACUUUUGAUUGGAAAGUUCAGUUCACUUACAAUAAUGUAGUUAUUGUCAUUGGAAUUUCUUUUGAGAGAGAGCAUGCGCCAUGCGUGCAUGAGUGGGGCUGGGAGGGGCAGAGGAGAGGGAUUGAAUCUUACGCAGACUGCAGUGAGUGCAGAGCUCAUCGCAGGGCUCAAUCCCGUGACCUGAGCCAAAGUCCCAAGUCAGAUGCUUAACCAACUGAGACACCCAGAUGCCCCUCAAUGUCAUUAGAUUCUAUCUGUCAUUUUGCUAUUUAUUUUCUUAGGUCUUAUGUCAUUUUUCCUCUUUCCUCAUUUAUUGUCAUUUCAUAAGUUAAAAGAGAUUCUAGUAUACCAUUUUUUAAAAAGAUUUAUUUAUUUAUUCAUGAGAGACACAGAUUGAGAGGAGAGACAAAGAUAUAAGCAGAGGGAGAGGCAGGCUCCAUGCAGGGAGCCCGAUGCGGGACUCGAUCCCGGAUCCGGGGAUCACAACCUGAGCCAAAGGCAGGCGCCCAACCGCUGAGCUUCCCAGGCAUCCCGAGUAUACCAUUUUAAUUCCAUUAAUUUUAAAGACUUUUAAAAAUGCUAUUUCCUAAAUAAUUAGAGCAGUGGUUCUCAACUGUGGGCAAUAUUCUUCCCCUAUUCCUGCUAAAGGAUAUCCAGAAAUAUCUGGAGACAUUUUUCAUUGUCACAGCCUGGCAGGGUAUUCAGAGGUCAAUCACUUGUCAAAUUAGCCUGGGUUUUAGCUUUCAGCUUGGCUCCCACCUUCUCCCCGCCAUGUGAGUAGUGCUCCAAGCCAGCUGCCUGUGUAUGGAGAGCUUAGUCCAGCCUUUCUGUGACUCUCUUACUUUCAGACCUCACUGCUAAAUUUCUGGCUGGUCUGCUGCUUGCCUCAAGUGGGGUCAUAAACUGAGGUUAGAAGAGCUAUGAGUUUUCCCUGUUCCUGUCCUACCAAGUUUGCUGCUUUGCUGAUAAUGCUGCGGUGUCUUUCUGUCUUCUACCUGAAAUGAAGCCUGCCCCCUCAGGCCGCAAAGAUGCUAAUUUUCCGGGCAGCUCUGCCAGUCAAGCCUGUUGAGCUCCAGUGGGGAAUGGGAGGGAAUGGCCCCAGGCAAGGAGGUCACUAAUUCCUGCUGAUCUCAUUUGAAGAGCUAAAGGUUUUUCAUGAAUAAAUGAUUCUCAAUUUGUUGUUUACCUUUGGUUAAUUUGUUUCUGACAGUUUUGUCCAAUUUUACACUUGCUUUUGGAGGAAAGGAUUUGUUCAUCUCUUCAUUCCAUAGUUGGAAGUUCCCCCACUACUUCGGAGUUAAAGUUUGCAUCCUGAAACCUGGCAACUUUAGAGCAGCACCUUCACCUCCAAAAGGGUAAAUAGUGUCCUUAGGGAAAAUCUGGGUCCUUGUGAGUUAGGGACAAAUGGGGGUAGGCAGGGCUAGGUAGGGGCCCAUGGAAGUAGGCUCACAAAAAUGCCCAAAUGCUGAGGUGUAAGGAAACCAGAGAUCAUGGAACAAGCCAGAGCACCUUGCCCUAAGGUGUGUGUGGGGAAGGUGUCUUAUUAGGAGAGUCAUCUGUGACCGACAAAGAAUAACCAGAUCCCAAAGAAGAAGGCCCUAAAGACGUUACCACUAGUCCUUACUCCAUGGUGAUCUCGGUAGAUAAUGUUAAAAGGAUUUAGGUUCGCUGGUUGGCUUCCAAUAAAAGACCAAUCAUACAAACCCUCAGUGGCAACCUGUUGGGACCCCUUUCACUCCUGAGAGCUUUCUCUGUAUCUUUACUUAAACUUCCAUCCUUCACUCAC